CAGUAGCCACGGGAAUACGAAGGGUGCAAGCGUUAAUCGGAAUUACUGGGCGUAAAGGGUGCGUAGGCGGUGAGUUAAGUCUGUUGUGAAAUCCCCGGGCUCAACCUGGGAAUGGCAAUGGAUACUGGCUCGCUAGAGUGUGAUAGAGGAUGGUGGAAUUCCCGGUGUAGCGGUGAAAUGCGUAGAGAUCGGGAGGAACAUCAGUGGCGAAGGCGGCCAUCUGGAUCCACACUGACGCUGAAGCACGAAAGCGUGGGGAGCAAAUGGGAUUAGAUACCCGCGUAGUCCCUGUCUCUUAUAC
rnacentral:rRNA from 1 species